rnacentral:misc_RNA from 1 species
GAUGAAGAACGCAGCGAAAUGCGAUAAGUAAUGUGAAUUGCAGAAUUCAGUGAAACAUCGAGUCUUUGAACGCACAUUGCGCCCCCUGGUAUUCCGGGGGCAUGCCUGUCCGAGCGUCAUUGCUGCCCUCAAGCACGGCUUGUGUGUUGGGCCCCCGUCCCCGGUUUCCCCCGGGGACGGGCCCGAAAGGCAGCGGCGGCACCGCGUCCGGUCCUCGAGCGUAUGGGGCUUUGUCACCCGCUCUGUAGGCCCGGCCGGCGCCAGCCGACACCCAACUUUAUUUCUAAGGUUGACCUCGGAUCAGGUAGGGAUACCCGCUGAACUUAAGCAUAUCAAUAAGCGGAGGA